AGUUGAAUCAGAGGACGUUUUGCUUAGGGAUGUCAAUAGGUACAUAUAUCCGAAAUUUUAUCCGAACUCGAACCUGAACGGAGCAAAUUUAUUCGAUACUAAAUAGAUAUGGUUUCGGAUAUAAAUAUAAAAACAAAAAACCCACUGGAUAUGGAUUCGUAUAAAUUCAAUUCUCUGAACGGUUAUGAUCAAUUAGUUAAAAAUAUUUGAAAUAUAAAUGAAUGGUUAUGAUCAAUCUGUUAAAAAAUAGCACUUCUAUCCGUCUAUUUUAUAUUAAAAUUUAAAUUUGAGUUUAAAUCGUGAAAUAAAUUAAUUUUUGAUUUUUGAUAUUAAUUCUAUCCAUCUAUUUUACAUCAGAAUUUAAAUUUGAGUUUAAAUCGUGAAUUAAAUUUAAUUUCUGAUUUUUGAUAUCAAAAUUGAAUUAACAAUUAAAAUAUUUUAAUUAUAUAAUGGAUCAGAAUCAAAUUUUAAAUUUUGAAAUAAAUGUCAAUUAAAUUUUGAUGCUUUUAGUUUAAAACACUUACUUAAAUUUUAGAUUUAUUAGAAAUCGAAAAAUGUAUAAAAAUAUUUAAUAAAAUAUUUAAUAAAAUAUUUAAUAGAGAACAAUAUAGCAUAUUGUAGAUAAUUUCCAAUAAAAUAUAACAUAUAAAUUUAUAAAAUAUUUUAUUUUACAUUUUUGAAUAAAUAUGAUUUAUAAAUUUUUAUUGAUAUAAAAUAAUUGUUACGUGCAUUUGCACAUACAUUCAACUAAUAUAUAUACUAUAUAUAAAAGUACGUAUUUCAAAUUUCGGUCUAUCGACAGACCAAUUUCAAAAUUCCUCUUUUUUCAUACGCAAAAUAAAUAACGUAAUGAUAGUUUCUCGUUUUU
rnacentral:lncRNA from 1 species